GCAAAACUGUUGAAACUUUUGUAUCCUAACCUGAUUCGUGUAAAUGAAUAUCUUUUGAAAACAUCCCCCUUGACUGGGGAGUCCGAGAACAUGUUGAAAAGGCUGCCGCUUACUGUAGAUAGCUUAGAUGUCAGAGGUCUCUAUAUCUAUGAUGAUGGUUUUCGGUUUGUUAUAUGGUUUGGUAAAAUGCUUUCAACAGAUAUCAUCAAGAGUUUAUUGGGUGAUGAAUUUGCUGCAGAAUUCUCAAAGGUUUGCCUGCAUGAGCAAGAUAAUGAAGUGUCAAGAAAAUUGAUGGGCUUGCUUAGAAAGUUUAGACAAAG